CUGCUCUACUUCUGUCACUCACUCUCCCAGUCAUUCACAGAAGUAAACCAUGUCUGAGAUCAGCAGAGAAGUUCUUCUGGAGGGUCUCUCUGCCCUCACUGGGAUCACCCUGAAGUCACGCACUAAACUCCAAGAAGGCUCCACAGCUGUAGAACUGACUGUCAAAAAUGUUCUCCCUGUUGUCUUUAAAAUGUUGUUAGAGUUUCUGGUACCUGACCUGACUUCAUUGUUGACUCAGCUAUCUGUGAACUCUGAAGUCUCGACUUUCCGGAGAGAGUACUUUGUGGACAUGGAUGAGUUCUUUCACCCUAAGUUUGAUUGCGAUUUCCGAAGCGGCGCAAGCUCCUCUAAGUGUUCCCGUGGUAAAGAAUCGUACACACGGCCCUGGGGGUGGUACCGAUUCGCUCUGAAGGUUCUGGAUAAGUAUCCUGAUGGAAACACCUGGCUGGGGCCGGACGGAUGGAGGAGCGAGUCUGCGCCCGGUGAGUGGCCAGUUUCCUUCCAGGGAACCAGCAUUGAGGGAGCCAAAGCCAUCACUGAGACCCAUUACAGAGCUGGGCCUUCCGAGGCUUAUGGGAGAGGCAUCUACUCCACUCCUGAUAUUAGCAUUGCAGAAGAUUAUGCUAUGAGCAAGAAGUUCACAUCAAAGAAUGGAAAGACUUACAAGGUCAUCAUGCAGAACCGGAUCAACCCUAUGAAGAGGGUCAUCACUAAAAAGAAAGACUACUGGCUCAUCCCGCUUCCUGAGGGAACCUCACCAGAAAAGGAGAAGGAGAUUGUGGAGAGAUCCAUCCGUCCUUAUGGCAUCCUGAUUAAAGAGGACUGAGUGGCCUUGUGCAGGAAGUCAUCCUAACCCUCAAGUAUUAGUGACCAGCUGCUGUAGACAAAGACAGACCGCCGAGCUGAACUCACCAAAAACGAAGCAGAGCCGAACUGACAGGGCAGAUUAGAGACGGGAAAUAAACUAAUUACAACACUCCAGAAACUUCUUACUGCGGCACCCUGGGGCAGAAUCCAGCAGUGAAGCGACAGGUUCAGGAGUUGCCUUGGGUGACAACUACAGCUUCGUUCACACUCUUUCCUCCACCUUUUUGUGUGUGUCGACAUUGAAUCGCCUGCUGGUGAAGUGUGGGAGAAAAUCAUAGAGCUGCAGCAUGUUCCGCUGCGGACCGGCAGGAGGCGGUAAAGUGCAGAUUCCAGCCUGAAGAUACAACAUCCGGGAAAGAUCUGGACUGCGCUGUUUUACUGACUGACACUGAAAUCACUGCUGAGUUUUAUUGACAGUUGCACUGAACAGGUGAUUAAGGAAUUUAUUUCACUCGUACUUUAUUUUUAUUAUAUGUGUAACAUGUCUUCUUCUUCUUCUUCUUCUUCUUCUUCUUCUUCUU